rnacentral:misc_RNA from 1 species
GAUGAAGAACGUAGCGAAAUGCGAUAAGUAAUGCGAAUUGCAGAUUUCAGUGAGUCAUCGAAUCUUUGAACGCACAUUGCGCCCGCCAGUAUUCUGGCGGGCAUGCCUGUUCGAGCGUCAUUUCAACCAUCAAGCCCCCGGGCUUGCGUUGGGGCCCUGCGGCUGCCGCAGGCCCCGAAAAGCAGUGGCGGGCUCGCUGUCACACCGAGCGCAGUAGCGAUUCUCGCUCCGGGCGUCGGCGGCGGGCACCGGCCGUGAAACCCACCCACAUCCACAAGGUUGACCUCGGAUCAGGUAGGAAUACCCGCUGAACUUAAGCAUAUCAAUAAGCGGAGGA